GGNCUGGCGACGUGCUACCAUGCAGUCGACGCUGAAGCACCAGCUUGCUGGUGUGGAUGAGUGGCGAACGGGUGAGUAAUACGUGAGUAACCUGCCCUUGACUCUGGGAUAAGCCCGGGAAACUGGGUCUAAUACUGGAUGCUACAUGCCACCGCAUGGUGGUGUGUGGAAAGGGUUUACUGGUCUUGGAUGGGCUCACGGCCUAUCAGCUUGUUGGUGAGGUAAUGGCUCACCAAGGCGACGACGGGUAGCCGGCCUGAGAGGGUGACCGGCCACACUGGGACUGAGACACGGCCCAGACUCCUACGGGAGGCAGCAGUGGGGAAUAUUGCACAAUGGGCGAAAGCCUGAUGCAGCGACGCCGCGUGAGGGAUGACGGCCUUCGGGUUGUAAACCUCUUUCAGCAGGGAAGAAGCCACAAGUGACGGUACCUGCAGAAGAAGCGCCGGCUAACUACGUGCCAGCAGCCGCGGUAAUACGUAGGGCGCAAGCGUUGUCCGGAAUUAUUGGGCGUAAAGAGCUCGUAGGCGGUUUGUCGCGUCUGCUGUGAAAGCCCGGGGCUUAACCCCGGGUGUGCAGUGGGUACGGGCAGACUAGAGUGCAGUAGGGGAGACUGGAAUUCCUGGUGUAGCGGUGGAAUGCGCAGAUAUCAGGAGGAACACCGAUGGCGAAGGCAGGUCUCUGGGCUGUUACUGACGCUGAGGAGCGAAAGCAUGGGGAGCGAACAGGAUUAGAUACCCUGGUAGUCCAUGCCGUAAACGUUGGGCACUAGGUGUGGGGGACAUUCCACGUUUUCCGCGCCGUAGCUAACGCAUUAAGUGCCCCGCCUGGGGAGUACGGCCGCAAGGCUAAAACUCAAAGGAAUUGACGGGGGCCCGCACAAGCGGCGGAGCAUGCGGAUUAAUUCGAUGCAACGCGAAGAACCUUACCAAGGCUUGACAUAUACCGGAUCGUUCCAGAGAUGGUUCUUCCCCUUUGGGGUCGGUAUACAGGUGGUGCAUGGUGUCGUCAGCUCGUGUCGUGAGAUGUUGGGUUAAGUCCCGCAACGAGCGCAACCCUCGUUCCAUGUUG
rnacentral:rRNA from 1 species